AUCUCCCUGAUUCUGUUUUAUUUUUUUCCAGCAUUUUGCCUGUCCAUAGAGGGGAUUGUGGUCCGGAGAUCCUUGAUAUUAUCUUGAACAAGGAUGAUCCUGAUGGUGAUUCAGACAUGAACAACCAAGCAGGCUUCUUCUGUGGCUCGCCGCC